rnacentral:rRNA from 1 species
GGGUCAGUAGGUUGGUCGUGCCACCGGUACGUACUGGUCUCACUGAUUCCUCCUUCCUGAAUAACCGUAAUGCCAUUAAUUUGGUGUUGCGGGGAAACAGGACUGUUACUUUGAAAAAAUUAGAGUGUUUAGAGCAAGCUAACGCUUGAAUACAUUAGCAUGGAAUAAUGAAAUAGGACGAUCGAUCCUAUUUUGUUGGUUUCUAGGAUUGACGUA